rnacentral:lncRNA from 1 species
UGAAAUCUAACAAGCAUGAAACCCUUCCAGAUUCUGGAGAUUCCUUUCUGUCUCAUGCUGUGAGGAGGCCUUCUUGUGAGCCAAAGCUGCUCCCACGAACUCCAUGCUGAGUGGUGCCUCCCAGAAUCCCAGGAUUCACCCCUCACAGAGGGCCAGCCUAACCCUCAAAGCCCACCAUGGUUUUAAGCCUCUUGUCUUAGGCCCUCUCUCAUGGAUGCUAUGGAAGCUGGAGCUACUUAAAUCCUAUCUUAUUCUGCAGGACACAGAAAGGAAGAAACAUGCGUGGCUGGAAAAUAUCUAACUGCCAAGUUGCUCCUACAAUUGGAGAUGAGCCUUCUGGCUAAUUUUGAGCUGGUCAUUCUACCUGAUUCUUCUUUGGAAACAAGAAGACAAAUCGACCCAGUUGCUCACAUUGCAUCUGGAUCAUUCUGACCAAAAGUUCCAAAGGCACAGACCUCUAUUGGAUAUGGAUUGUUGGCCUGCGCAGCUUUACCCAGUGUGAGGGCUGAACUGUGCCCCCUUGAGAGAGCUGAAUGCUGGUGGUUUGGGCUGGGCAAGGGCUCUACUUCCACACUGGUGUGGAGAAGUCUUGUCUUGUGCUAUAAUCUGUAGAGAUACCCAGCUUUAUAGAAAGAAGAGAAAGAAAAAAAGAGGCAUAAGGGUUAAGUGAAAAGACAAAAGAAAGAGCAUGUGUAUAUGUGUGUAUGUUUCCAAAAAUCAGAGUGAGAGAUUGGGAAAAGAGAGUAAAGGGUUAGAUUUAUCUAAGAAAUUCUGCUGUGCAAAUCCUAGUAUAGCCUAGCAAUUUGGGGUUCUCACAAUAUAAUCAGAUCUCCAUUGGCUCCAAGACCAGAGAACUAACUAGCAGUGAAGUAUCCAUCUUUCUUAACAUUAUCAUUAAUAGUGGCCAAGUGUCAGUGUCCUUAUCUGUAAAGUAGGAGUUGUAUCUUCCUUGUAGGGAUGUUAGGUGGAUUAAACUGUCUAAUGCAUGUUAAUUGUGAAGUACUCUAUAAGCAGUCUAUAAG